rnacentral:misc_RNA from 1 species
AAGUAAGACUGGGAUAACGCUGCCUGUGCUGUAACAUGUGCUAGGGCCUGCUGGUGUGACAUUCCAAAAGGACUCUGAACUGCGGAAAGAAAUCCAGGUGAAUUAAGCAAUCCAGAAGGAGUAAAAGCGGUUGGAAUGGUGAAGAAAGGAGAUUGAGCCACCAUUAGAUUCAUGGGUCGAUUCUGUUUAUACCCUUGUUUACAAUUCUCUUCUUCUCCAGGAAAAAGGGUAGGCGGUUUUGCUAAUGGAGAAGCCAUAGCUCCAGCAAGAAGCUGGGAGAAAGAUGGGUACUCAGAUUCAGAGAAGAAAGUAGAGACAAGGGUCAUUGGACCUGGACUAAAAUAGGGCAUAUUUCCACCACCAAAAAAUGAGUCUUUAGGUGGGAUUGUUAGUGUUGAAAGUGAAGACACUGAAACUGAUGGAGCUUUGAAGUUUUCCCCCAUUUUUAAUUAAACCAAAAACAUACAGCAAGAUGAUU